GUGGGGAUUGAACUCGGAACCACUCGUUUAUGAAGCGAGCGCUCUACCACUACACCACUGCCGCAUUUAUUUAUAUUUAUUAUAGUAUUUGUGAAUCAGGUGCUAUAUAUGUGACUUUUUUAAUUCAGGUACUAUGCAUGUAAGAUUUUUCUUUUAAAGUUCUGUUUUGAUAUUUUUUAUAAACUUUUUAAUUAGAUAACGUUUAAUACAAAAGUUGCAUUCAUAUCUAAAAACAGGUAACGUGACACCAGGUUUUUAAACAGGUGAGUUUUAUCGCAUUUAUUUCAAUUUUAUUUUAUUAAUGAUUGUUUUAUUUAACUAAUUUUUGUUUCGUAAAUACCUAAUAUUUACCAUUCAAAUUUAAAUAUUUUUUGUAAAUAAAACAUUAAAUCAUCGGAUUUAGUUGAUGAACCUAUUGAACCUCGGAUUUAGUUGAUGAACCUAUUGUCUACUGUUGAAACAUGAUUUGAUUCAGUAAAUUUUUAUUAUUUGAAUUUUACUGUAUUAAUCAUUAGUCAACAGUUAGCGAGAAACUGGUGCUCUACGUAAUUGAGAUUAAUUGAUGAACAUUUCAAUCGUCACCGAAAAUUGAAUUUUCCUGUUUGUUGCAGGCUUGUUUUCCUUUAAUUAGGAGUAUGGUAGACUUAAAGAAGCAGUUCAUAUCUAAACGACACAAACUGUCAAAAGCAAGAGAAA